UGACACCGCCUCACCUGCUGAUUAACGAAGGGGCGGCUCCCUCAUUUCCCACGCACCAAACACUCCUUAUACACCACACAUCCACCGCCGCCCAUCAGCCAGACCCAGACGUCCCCAAGGGCCGCAGCUCAGAGCCACGCCCCAAGACGGGCCAUCCGGAGCUUCCUCCCGCAGUAAAACUCCAGAGCAAAGCGGCUUAAUGAACGGCUGCAUCUGGCGACCACGGAGACGACGGCACGAGAUUUCAGUGGCGGUGUCAGAGUCACGCGGUGCAGCUGCCACCACGCCUGAGGAUCUUGGCGGCAGCGUUCAAGUUUUAUGAAAUGAGAGGCAAUGCAAGGUCGAGAAAGCAAUGAUGAAACUUUAUGACUUAGCCCUAAACUAUAACUGUUAUUUUUGUAUGGUAAACAUGAAGGUAUUCGAAACACAGUAGUACAAGAAAAGAAAGUUACAAGAAGCCAGAAGAGCUACACGUGGCAGUCCUUGUACCGCCUGGCUGCCCUUUUACUGGUGAGACAACCGAUGAAGAUUUAACAUGAAUAAAUAUUUCCAUUCCGUAAUCUGCACCAAUCACAACCCUUGGAGCAUUCAUUUAGGACAGUGGAAUGCAUUCAGGUACAUUCAUAGGUAAAGAAUAUGCUAUCAUUCUCAAGAUGUCGAGUUUCUCCAGCAAUGAAAUUCAAAGUUUAAUUUAGUUUUGUAGCGAUAUUCUAUGAAAUUCAAGUCACAAAGAGAGUUGAAGAUAACACCGAAAUCCUUCCAUCCAUGACAGUGAAAGAAAAGAACAUCGACAUUCUUCCUUGCCUGAUUCAUCCAUCGUGUCUUUUAGAUUAUGAAAAUAAUGAAAUAAGUGACAGAGUUCCAAUUUUUGUGUCUAAGUAGAGCGCCAUUCGAUAAUUCU